GAUGAACGCUGACAGAAUGCUUAACACAUGCAAGUCGACUGGAAUUCUUCUUCGGAAGAUAGUACGGUGGCGGACGGGUGAGUAACGCGUAAAGAAUUUGCCCUUCAGACUGGGACAACUAACCGAAAGGUUAGCUAAUACCGGAUAUUAUGAGACCUCGGCAUCGAGGACUCAUGAAAGCUAUAUGCGCUGGAGGAGAACUUUGCGUCCCAUUAGGUAGUUGGUAGGGUAAUGGCCUACCAAGCCGACGAUGGGUAGCCGGCCUGAGAGGGUGAACGGCCACAAGGGGACUGAGACACGGCCCUUACUCCUNACGGGAGGCAGCAGUGGGGAAUAUUGGACAAUGGACCAAAAGUCUGAUCCAGCAAUUCUGUGUGCACGAUGAAGGUCUUCGGAUUGUAAAGUGCUUUCAGGUGGGAAGAAGAAAGUGACGGUACCACCAGAAGAAGCGACGCUAAA
rnacentral:rRNA from 1 species